AUGUUUCACAAUAUUUUCAUUCCUUUAAUUACAAGAAAUUGUGUCAGUUCUGAUUUUGUGAGUAUUUCAAAGCUGUCUGCAUUGAACAAUGUGUUGACACAUUUUAGAUGUCAAAGGAGCAGCCCCAAUAGCCGGUUAUGCUUCAGGCUUGUCUCACACUGAAUUUUCUCUCUGUCUCUUUUACGGCCAGCCCAGCUGGAAGGUGACACCUCAAAAGGUUUGGCUUCUUUGCUCUGCAGAGAGCCACUCUGUGGAUGUGCUGCUCUUGGAGCUGUUCUGGGGAGGUGUGAGAACUCCUCCUUUUCCCCUCUCAUGAGCGUAGCUGGGGCUCCAUUUCAGCCAAGCCAAGAACCACAGCAGGACUGGUGCUCCCCACCAUUCCCCUGUGGAGAGGCAGUGGCAUUCUGCAGCCAAGUGAGGCAUCUGGUGCCUCUCUGAGGUUUCUCAUUGACACAAUUAAUGCUUCAUCUGUGAACCUGGCUGAACAAAG